rnacentral:lncRNA from 1 species
CUUUACCCAAAGUCAUCUAGAUUUUCUCUUAAGACUAUUUAGUUUAUAUGUUUUGGUUUAUGAUCCAUUCUGAAUUAAUUUUUAUGAAGAGUAUAAGGUCUGUGUUUGGUUCCUUUUCUUUUUAUGUGUAGAUACCUACUUGUAGAUGUCUAGUUAUUCAAAGCAUUUAUUGAAAAGAUUAUUUUUGCUUCUUUGUAUUAUCUUUGCUCCUUUGUCAAAGACAAUUGACUAUAUUUGAUUCUAUUUCUGUGUUCUCUCUUCUUUUCUGUUGAUCUAUUUGUUGUCUCCUCUUUUGCCAAGACCACACCGUCUUGAUUACUGUAGCCAAUUUACAAUAAGUCUUGAAAUUGAGUAAUGUCUUCUUCUCCUUCCCCUUCUUCUUCCUCCUCCUCCUCCUUUUCUUCUUCACUAUUGAGUUGGUUAUUCUGGGCCUUUUCCCUCUUGAUAUAUACUGUAUGAACAAUAUUUUGGUAUCUACUAAAUAACUGGCUGGUAUUUUGAUGGAUGGCAUUGAAUCUGUAGAUCAGGUUGGGAAUAACUGACAUCUUGACAAUAAUGAGUCUUCCUGUUCAUGAACACAUUUCAUUUUAUUUAAUUCUUUGAUAACUUUCAUCACAAUUUUAAAGGUUUCCUUACAAAGAUCUUGCAUAUAUUUUGUUAGAUUUAUAUCUAAGUAUUUUAUGUUAGAUUUAUGCCUAAGUCUUUGUUACCAUUU